rnacentral:rRNA from 1 species
GGUGAACGUUGGCGGCGCGUCUAAUACAUGCAAGUCGAGCGAGGCUUCGAGCCGAGCGGCGGACGGCUGAGUAACACGUUGGUAAUUACCCCGUACUCAGGGAUAACACUGAGAAAUCAGUGCUAAUACCGGAUGGUCCCGAAAGGGUAAAGAUUUAUCGGUACGGGAGGUGCCUGCGGCCUAUCAGCUAGUUGGUGAGGUAAUGGCUCACCAAGGCUAUGACGGGUAACUGGUCUGAGAGGACGACCAGUCAGAGGGAAACUGAGACACGGUUCCCACUCCUACGGGAGGCAGCAGUAAAGAAUCUUCCGCAAUGGACGCAAGUCUGACGGAGCGACGCCGCGUGCAGGAUGAAGGCCUUCGGGUCGUAAACUGCUUUCUGAGAGAAUAAUUACUGAAUGUAUCUCAGGAAUAAGCACCGGCAAAUCACGUGCCAGCAGCCGCGGUAAAGU